rnacentral:rRNA from 2 species
CCUGUCAGGACGAACGCUGGCGGCGUGCCUAAUACAUGCAAGUCGAACGAACUCUGGUAUUGAUUGGUGCUUGCAUCAUGAUUUACAUUUGAGUGAGUGGCGAACUGGUGAGUAACACGUGGGAAACCUGCCCAGAAGCGGGGGAUAACACCUGGAAACAGAUGCUAAUACCGCAUAACAACUUGGACCGCAUGGUCCGAGCUUGAAAGAUGGCUUCGGCUAUCACUUUUGGAUGGUCCCGCGGCGUAUUAGCUAGAUGGUGGGGUAACGGCUCACCAUGGCAAUGAUACGUAGCCGACCUGAGAGGGUAAUCGGCCACAUUGGGACUGAGACACGGCCCAAACUCCUACGGGAGGCAGCAGUAGGGAAUCUUCCACAAUGGACGAAAGUCUGAUGGAGCAACGCCGCGUGAGUGAAGAAGGGUUUCGGCUCGUAAAACUCUGUUGUUAAAGAAGAACAUAUCUGAGAGUAACUGUUCAGGUAUUGACGGUAUUUAACCAGAAAGCCACGGCUAACUACGUGCCAGCAGCCGCGGUAAUACGUAGGUGGCAAGCGUUGUCCGGAUUUAUUGGGCGUAAAGCGAGCGCAGGCGGUUUUUUAAGUCUGAUGUGAAAGCCUUCGGCUCAACCGAAGAAGUGCAUCGGAAACUGGGAAACUUGAGUGCAGAAGAGGACAGUGGAACUCCAUGUGUAGCGGUGAAAUGCGUAGAUAUAUGGAAGAACACCAGUGGCGAAGGCGGCUGUCUGGUCUGUAACUGACGCUGAGGCUCGAAAGUAUGGGUAGCAAACAGGAUUAGAUACCCUGGUAGUCCAUACCGUAAACGAUGAAUGCUAAGUGUUGGAGGGUUUCCGCCCUUCAGUGCUGCAGCUAACGCAUUAAGCAUUCCGCCUGGGGAGUACGGCCGCAAGGCUGAAACUCAAAGGAAUUGACGGGGGCCCGCACAAGCGGUGGAGCAUGUGGUUUAAUUCGAAGCUACGCGAAGAACCUUACCAGGUCUUGACAUACUAUGCAAAUCUAAGAGAUUAGACGUUCCCUUCGGGGACAUGGAUACAGGUGGUGCAUGGUUGUCGUCAGCUCGUGUCGUGAGAUGUUGGGUUAAGUCCCGCAACGAGCGCAACCCUUAUUAUCAGUUGCCAGCAUUAAGUUGGGCACUCUGGUGAGACUGCCGGUGACAAACCGGAGGAAGGUGGGGAUGACGUCAAAUCAUCAUGCCCCUUAUGACCUGGGCUACACACGUGCUACAAUGGAUGGUACAACGAGUUGCGAACUCGCGAGAGUAAGCUAAUCUCUUAAAGCCAUUCUCAGUUCGGAUUGUAGGCUGCAACUCGCCUACAUGAAGUCGGAAUCGCUAGUAAUCGCGGAUCAGCAUGCCCGGUGGAAUACCUUUCCCGGGGCCUUGUACACACCGGCCCGUCACACCAUGAAGAGUUUGUAACACCCAAAGUCGGUGGGGUAACCUUUUAGGAACCAGCCGCCUAAGGUGGGACAGAUGAUUAGGGUGA